rnacentral:lncRNA from 1 species
CAGAGGAGACCCAGGCACGGCUUCUGAGGGUCUCUUUCUUUCUCGUUUCCUUGUAGCCGAAGCUCAGGCAGCAGCUGCCGCCAAGGCUGCCAAGUACGGGUUAGUUCCUGGUGUCGGCGUGGCUCCUGGAGUUGGUGUGGCUCCUGGUGUCGGCGUGGCUCCUGGCGUUGGCGUGGCUCCUGGAGUUGGCGUGGCUCCUGGAGUUGGUGUGGCUCCUGGUGUUGGUGUGGCUCCCGGCGUUGGUGUGGCUCCCGGCGUUGGCGUGGCUCCCGGCAUUGGCCCUGGUGGAGUUGCAGCUGCAGCAAAAUCCGCUGCCAAGGUGGCUGCCAAAGCCCAGCUCCGAGCUGCAGCUGGGCUUGGUGCUGGCAUCCCUGGACUUGGAGUUGGUGUCGGCGUCCCUGGACUUGGAGUUGGUGCUGGUGUUCCUGGACUUGGAGUUGGUGCUGGUGUGCCUGGCUUCGGGGCAGGUGCAGAUGAGGGGGUUAGGCGGAGCCUGUCCCCUGAGCUCAGGGAAGGAGAUCCCUCCUCCUCUCAGCACCUCCCCAGCACCCCCUCACCACCCAGGGGUGCAUAGUAAAAUCCUUGUUAGGUUCUCCUAAGC